UUCGUCAUUGCUACAAUCCAGAGUCUUUCUGGCAAAAGCAUUGUUUCCUCCAUGAGCACUAGUGCGGCUUUAAAAUGUCAUCCUUUUAUGUAAGUAUUUCUGUAUGUAUGUGCAGCUACAAAACGAUCCCUUGCCUUCAAAGUUUAUUCCGAACUUUUUGUUUCAGCCAGUAAUUUCCGGCAGGGGUAGCCAACAAUUCGUCUGUUAAUACCAGAAAAUAAAGCCAGCCAUUAAGUUGUGUAAGCUGCGUUAAGAGAGAGGAGCUUCCAUUCCUUUACAGGCCCCUAUUUGCAUUGUAAAUCGCUUCGUUUUCACGAAAGACUCCUUAGCGUCUAUAAAGAUGAGAGCCUUCGGCAAUUUCCAACGCAGUGUAAGGAGGAACAAGAAGGUGGGGAAAAUCCAUUUCAGUAGGAAGUAACAAGAUGAUUCGAGGAUGAGGCUCCUGAUCCCCUUAGAUUGUGCACGGCAUAGAGCUCUUUGCCAAAAGGUGGCAGCUUGAUUGUAAAUAUCUUUCCUGGGUGUGUAUUUUAGAGGGGGGAGACUCGCUCUUUCUCGGAGCUCCUAAAGCUGGGGAGAAGACAGCGGUCUUGCCGGCUGCUGCUGCCCCCGGUCUGAAAGAAGGAGAAAAGGGCCAUCAUUGGAAGGCUUUCAGUGCCAAAAUGCGGGCCAGCCCGUCAAGGUCAGAGGUCCUGGACCGCGGGAGACCAAGGUAAUGAUGAUGUCAUGAGAAACCUCGAGUAUACACGGCUAUUGAUAUGCAUGAGCCACCAGUGGCCGGCGCUGGAACCGAGUCCGGUCUCGCCUCCAGCAUCGCCGCCUCCGCCGCCCUGGCGCGGGGGAUCCGUCCGCCGCCUUUACCUUUUUCCUCCUCUGCAGCACAGACCGCUCUAACAUCCAGAGGCCGGGGGAGAGGACUCUCUCCCCCGGGACGAGCAGCCUGUCCGACCCCAGGGAGCGCUGCUGCACUUCUCUUAGGGCAGCCCCCGCUGGUCUCCAGACGUCUGUGAUGUAAAGAAGAAAUAUCCUGUAUGGAUUCCUUAAGAGCAAACCAUCCCUAUUGACUUUAAAGAGGAAUGCUUAUGACUCUCUAACUAUUGCAAUCAGACCCCCAUCCUAUCUCCAGCAACACCACCUUCUUUGGGAAGACACACAGGAACCCCACUUAAGCUGCUGUGACAUAAGAAGGGUGUAGUGUUGCAGAAAUUCCCUUUUUGCACUAAAUUAUAACAAAAUUCACGUAGAGGUAAAUUGCCAGGGCAUGCCAGUACGUGCCAGUACAGUCCAAGCCUUUUUUCCCUGCAGAGCAGCAUCCCUUUUCUCCCAUCCCGGCAGCAGUGCUGUUCUUAGGUGCUGCGAUGAGGCAGUUUCACCCGGAUAGAGGGAUGCUGAGGGUCACGCCCUCCCGCAACUCCACUGGAACUGUCCUGUCCCCGACACUCCAUUGCCAGGUGCGUUCCUGUGCUGAACGGAGCCAUUUUGGCAGGGAUGGAUUUUAGAGAACCCGAGAAGUGAUGGUCGCUUGCUCCGAGUGACCCACUACAUAGAAGGCAGCGGAUGGCGGCGAGCAAUCCUUUGCACCCUGACCAGCUGCAAGAUAUGACUCCGACUUAUCUUCUUUCCUCUCCCCCCCUUUUUUUUUUUUUUUCCUGAAUUUCUCCUCCCCUUCUCCCACCUCCCCCCCUCCACUUUGUGGGGUUUUUGUUUGUUUGUUCGUUCGUGUGGUUUGAAAACUGCUAUUCUUCA